GGGAGAUGCCAUGUAGAGACCAGGAAGAUAGGAUGCGCCAAGUCUUUUCUGGAGCAAGGAUAUGGAUGAUCUGCAAAUGGAAACCUGGAAACUGAAUGAUCAGAGCCUUAACCAUGCUGCACACGAGGUCUCCACUAGGCUACGUCAUCAUCUGAAGCUCAUCCAGGCUGUCAACAAAAUUCAGCCCAGUGUUUCGCUGGCUGUUGGUGGGAUGCCAUACUUAGGCCCAGGAGGCUGCCCAUAGUCCCCACCAUAUGGCCUCCAGAUAAGCUGUUCACGACACUGCAGAUGAUUUCAUCGUGGCCAGUCUGUGUAUCUUCUUCACUCACUGACUUUUGUGUAACAAAAUGUAUCUAAUCAGCAAGAGAUUAGAUACAUUUCAUCCCUUUUGCACAUUCUAAGCUUCAGUGGGUUCUAUCUGAGCUCAAGGGGCUUGGACAAGGACUUUGGGGUCAUAGGAGGGUGUCUUUUAU
rnacentral:lncRNA from 1 species